rnacentral:tRNA from 1 species
GGGCGGCUAGCUCAGCUGGUUAGAGCAUAUGCUUUACACGCAUAGGGUCGGGAGUUCGAAUCUCUCGCCGCCCACCA